GACAUAGGUCGCAAACGUUAUCCGGAAUUAUUGGGCGUAAAGGAUGCGUAGAUGGUUCAAUAAGUUACUGGUGGGAAAUCGAGGCUCAACCUCGUGGAAGUCAGUAAUACUGUUGAACUUGAGUGCAGGAGAGGUUAACGGAACUUUAUGUGGAGCGGUAAAAUGCGUAGAUAUAUGAAAGAACAUCAAUAUGGCGAAGGCAGUUAACUAUUCUGUUACUGACGUUGAGGCAUGAAAGCGUGGGGAGCAAAGCGG
rnacentral:rRNA from 1 species